rnacentral:rRNA from 1 species
UAUCCCUACGGGGCGCAGCAGUGGGGAAUAUUGCACAAUGGGGGAAACCCUGAUGCAGCGACGCCGCGUGAGUGAAGAAGUAUUUCGGUAUGUAAAGCUCUCUCAGCAGGGAAGAAAAUGACGGUACCUGACUAAGAAGCCCCGGCUAACUACGUGCCAGCAGCCGCGGUAAUACGUAGGGGGCAAGCGUUAUCCGGAUUUACUGGGUGUAAAGGGAGCGUAGGUGGCAUGGUAAGCCAGAAGUGAAAACCCAGGGCGCAAAUCUGUGGAUGGCUUUUGAAACUGUUGAAC